rnacentral:lncRNA from 1 species
GGCGGAUUUAGAGGGGGGCCCAGGGGGCCCGGGCCCCCCCUUUUUGGGAAAAAAAUUGGUUGCUUAUAUAGAGAAUCACUGAAGCGUGACUGGAGCGGGCCCCCUCUUAGGUCAGUCAGUGGGCCCCCACUUAUGAAAAUUUCUGGAUCCGCCACUGAACUUUUACAGUGUGUUGUACUACUUUUGGGACAAAUUAUGUCAAAAUUAUAGAAAACUUCAUCGGCUCUAACUCAAAAUAUGGACAAUUUUAUGUUUAGGGCGUCUUGAAAUCUUUUGACAGCUUCCGAAGUGCUAAUUUUAAACCUUUUUUAGCUGGACCAAAUCACUACUUUCCUUUAAAAUUCUGGACCCUAAUUUGUAUACAGUGUACUUUCUCCCCCC